UCCAGUGUAGUUCAGUGGUUAGAACGAAAUUCCAAUAACGCUUAGGGAGGAAUGCUUUCGGUUAUGCCAAUUGCCCCCAAGCGCAGCAGGUCGGGAUGACCGCUGGUGGAAAUUGAAACCUGAGUUCGAAUCUCAGCACCGAAA